GAUGAACGCUAGCGGCAGGCCUAAUACAUGCAAGUCGAACGGUGUAGCAAUACACAGUGGCGCACGGGUGCGUAACACGUAUGCAACCUACCUUACAUUGGGGGAUAGCCUUUCGAAAGGGAGAUUAAUACCGCGUAAGACAGUAACUAGGCAUCUAGUAGCUGUUAAAGAUUUAUCGAUGUAAGCUGGGCAUGCGUCCAAUUAGUUAGUUGGCGAGGUAAUGGCUCACCAAGACGAUGAUUGGUAGGGGAACUGAGAGGUCAAUCCCCCACACAGGCACUGCGAUACGGGCCAGACGCCUACGGGCGGCAGCAGUAGGGAAUAUUGGGCAAUGGGCGCAAGCCUGACCCAGCCAUGCCGCGUGCAGGAAGAAGGCGUUAUGCGUUGUAAACUGAUUUUAUACAGGAAGAAACGACCCUUGCGAGGGGCAUUGACGGUACUGUAUGAAUAAGCACCGGCUAACUCCGUGCCAGCCGCCGCGGUAAAAC
rnacentral:rRNA from 1 species